GACGAACGCUGGCGGCGUGCUUAACACAUGCAAGUCGAACGGUAAGGCCCUUCGGGGUACACGAGUGGCGAACGGGUGAGUAACACGUGGGUGAUCUGCCCUGCACUUCGGGAUAAGACUGGGAAACUGGGUCUAAUAACGGAUAGGAACAAUGCCUGCAUGGGAGGUGGUGGAAAGCUUUUGGGGUGUGGGAUGGGCCCGCGGCCUAUCAGCUUGUUGGUGGGGGGAUGGCCUACCAAGGCGACGACGGGUAGCCGGCCUGAGAGGGUGACCGGCCAGACGGGGACUGAGACACGGCCCAGACUGCUACGGGAGGCAGCAGUGGGGAAGAUUGCGCAAGGGGCGAAAGCCUGACGCAGCAACGCCGCGUGCGGGAUGACGGCCUUCGGGUUGUAAACCGCUUUCAGCAGGGAAGAAGCCGCAAGGUGACGGUACCUGCAGAAGAAGCACCGGCUAACUACGUGCCAGCCGCCGCGGUAA
rnacentral:rRNA from 1 species